CCCUUAGAUGUCCUGGGCCGCACGCGCGCUACACUGAUGCAUUCAACGAGUUUUACCUUGGCCGAGAGGCCUGGGCAAUCUUUUAAACCUGCAUCGUGAUAGGGAUAGAUUAUUGCAAUUUUUAAUCUUGAACGAGGAAUUCCUAGUAAACGCAAAUCAUCAAUUUGCAUUGAUUACGUCCCUGCCCUUUGUACACACCGCCCGUCGCACCUACCGAUUGAAUGGUCCGGUGAAGCCUCGGGAUUGUGGCCAGUUCACUUUAUUGGGAGUUGGCUGUGAGAACUUGUCUAAACCUUAUCAUUUAGAGGAAGGUGAAGUCGUAACA
rnacentral:rRNA from 1 species